rnacentral:tRNA from 2 species
GCCCUUCUGGCGCAAUGGUAGCGCGCCAGACUUCUAAGUCUGAAGAUGGGAAAUAAUCUUCACCACGCGGCAUCUGGAGGUUGUGGGUUCGAGUCCCACGAGGGGUG